GGCCUGUUGGCUCAGCUGGUUAGAGCGUGGUGCUAAAAACGCCAAGUUCGUGGGUUCGAUCCCCACAUGGGCCA
rnacentral:tRNA from 1 species